rnacentral:rRNA from 1 species
AGCGAACGCUGGUGGCAGGCCUAACACAUGCAAGUCGAACGAAGUCUUCGGACUUAGUGGCGGACGGGUGAGUAACACGUGGGAACGUGCCUUUAGGUUCGGAAUAACUCAGGGAGACUUGUGCUAAUACCGGAUGUGCCCUUCGGGGGAAAGAUUUAUCGCCUUUAGAGCGGCCCGCGUCUGAUUAGCUAGUUGGUGAGGUAAAGGCUCACCAAGGCGACGAUCAGUAGCUGGUCUGAGAGGAUGAUCAGCCACAUUGGGACUGAGACACGGCCCAAACUCCUACGGGAGGCAGCAGUGGGGAAUCUUGCGCAAUGGGCGAAAGCCUGACGCAGCCAUGCCGCGUGAAUGAUGAAGGUCUUAGGAUUGUAAAAUUCUUUCACCGGGGACGAUAAUGACGGUACCCGGAGAAGAAGCCCCGGCUAACUUCGUGCCAGCCGCCGCAGUAACAC